UGAGGAAUAUUGGUCAAUGGGCGAGAGCCUGAACCAGCCAAGUAGCGUGAAGGAUGACUGCCCUAUGGGUUGUAAACUUCUUUUAUAAAGGAAUAAAGUCGGGUAUGGAUACCCGUUUGCAUGUACCUUAUGAAUAAGCAUCGGCUAACUCCGUGCCAGCAGCCGCGGUAAUACGGAGGAUGCGAGCGUUAUCCGGAUUUAUUGGGUUUAAAGGGAGCGUAGACGGGCCGUUAAGUCAGCUGUGAAAGUUUGAGGCUCAACCUUAAAAUUGCAGUUGAUACUGGCGUCCUUGAGUACGGUUGAGGCAGGCGGAAUUCGUGGUGUAGCGGUGAAAUGCUUAGAUAUCACGAAGAACCCCGAUUGCGAAGGCAGCCUGCUAAACCGCCACUGACGUUGAGGCUCGAAAGUGUGGGUAUCAAACAGGAUUAGAUACCCUGGUAGUCCACACGGUAAACGAUGGAUACUCGCUGUUUGCGAUAUACAGUAAGCGGCCAAGCGAAAGCAUUAAGUAUUCCACCUGGGGAGUACGCCGGCAACGGUGAAACUCAAAGGAAUUGACGGGGGCCCGCACAAGCGGAGGAACAUGUGGUUUAAUUCGAUGAUACGCGAGGAACCUUACCCGGGCUUAAAUUGCAAAUGAAUUAUGGGGAAACCCAUACGCCGCAAGGCAUUUGUGAAGGUGCUGCAUGGUUGUCGUCAGCUCGUGCCGUGAGGUGUCGGCUUAAGUGCCAUAACGAGCGCAACCCUUAUCUUCAGUUACUAACAGGUCAUGCUGAGGACUCUGGAGAGACUGCCGUCGUAAGAUGUGAGGAAGGUGGGGAUGACGUCAAAUCAGCACGGCCCUUACGUCCGGGGCUACACACGUGUUACAAUGGGGGGUACAGAAGGCAGCUACACGGCGACGUGAUGCUAAUCCCCAAAACCUCUCUCAGUUCGGAUUGGAGUCUGCAACCCGACUCCAUGAAGCUGGAUUCGCUAGUAAUCGCGCAUCAGCCACGGCGCGGUGAAUACGUUCCC
rnacentral:rRNA from 1 species